UAUUGGUGAGGACCGGGUAAUCUGCAUCCUGGGGUUUAAGGUUUAAGUACACGCAAAAAUAUGCGUACGCAUAUAUUUGUGUGUGUUAGUAUAGCUUUUAGACCUCAGGAUGCGGAUUACCUCUUCCUUACAAUACG